GAUGAUCUCCCGCUUGCGGGGGUGAUUAGUGGCGAACGGGUGAGUAAUACGUGAGUAACCUGCCCUUGACUCUGGGAUAAGCCUGGGAAACCGGGUCUAAUACUGGAUACGACCCUUCGUCGCAUGGUGGGGGGUGGAAAGGGUUUGACUGGUUUUGGAUGGGCUCACGGCCUAUCAGCUUGUUGGUGGGGUAAUGGCUCACCAAGGCGACGACGGGUAGCCGGCCUGAGAGGGUGACCGGCCACACUGGGACUGAGACACGGCCCAGACUCCUACGGGAGGCAGCAGUGGGGAAUAUUGCACAAUGGGCGGAAGCCUGAUGCAGCGACGCCGCGUGAGGGAUGACGGCCUUCGGGUUGUAAACCUCUUUCAGCAGGGAAGAAGCCACAAGUGACGGUACCUGCAGAAGAAGCGCCGGCUAACUACGUGCCAGCAGCCGCGGUAAUACGUAGGGCGCAAGCGUUGUCCGGAAUUAUUGGGCGUAAAGAGCUCGUAGGCGGUUUGUCGCGUCUGCUGUGAAAGCCCGGGGCUCAACCCCGGGUCUGCAGUGGGUACGGGCAGACUAGAGUGCAGUAGGGGAGACUGGAAUUCCUGGUGUAGCGGUGAAAUGCGCAGAUAUCAGGAGGAACACCGAUGGCGAAGGCAGGUCUCUGGGCUGUUACUGACG
rnacentral:rRNA from 1 species